AAAGAAAAGAUACAAAUUUCGGAAAAAAGGAAAAAGCUUUAAAAUUUUGUUAGAAAAAAGAAUUCAUCAGUUUCCGGUGGAAAGGACUGCUUUGUGCCUCCACAGAAGAGGGAAAAAUCCCCAAGCCUCUAUUUCAAGCUCCGCCUCUUUUGAAUUGAUUGAUCAUAUUUCAUUGUUUUAGCCAAGAAAUGAUGGCCGCAACGAUCCCAACUCACUUCAAUCCCAAGUCCUAUCUCCAACACCCUCCACGAAGCACCCACAACGAAGUCACUACAACAGUUAGACCCAUAACAAGAAAACAUUCAGUCGCUUCUUAUAGUACUACCCAUUUUCAUAAUACUAGCAACAAUGCUAAUUUCAAGCUCAAAUCAUACUCUUCCCGUCGAGUGCUUGCAAGGGUCUGCAGUGAUGGUGGUGCCACUCCACAACAAGAUAGAAAAAUUGAGGAAAGAAACCAUAGCUCAUCUUCAUCUAGUUUUGGCGACAGUUAUGUGGCCUUGUUUGUUCGGAUGCUUGGGUUAGACAAUGAUCCACUUGAUAGAGAACAGGCAAUAGUGGCGCUAUGGAAAUAUUCGCUGGGAGGAAAGAAGUGCAUUGAUAACAUCAUGCAGUUUCAGGGAUGCAUCAAUCUCACCAUAAAUCUUCUCAAUUCAGAGACCAAUUCUACACUUGAAGCAGCUGCUGGCCUUCUACGAUCAAUAUCUUCAAUUAAUCUAUACAGAGAUGUGGUAGCAGAAUCUGGAGCAAUAGAAGAGAUAACUGGUUUGCUAAGUCAACCUUGCUUGACAUCUGAGGUAAAGGAACAAAGUAUAUGUACUUUGUGGAACUUGUCUGUAGAUGAGAAUUUCAGAGUGAAGAUUGCAAACAAUGAUAUCUUGCCAUUGCUCAUUAAGUCCCUGGAGGAUGAGGACAUAAAAGUGAAGGAAGCAGCAGGAGGUGUUCUGGCAAAUUUGGCAUUGACUCACUCUAACCAUAGCAGUAUGGUUGAAGCAGGUGUUAUUCCUAAGUUGGCAGAGUUCUUAAAAGCUGAUAUUGAAGAUGAGUACAAGGUCAUUAGGAAGGAAGCAAGAAAUGCCCUUGUGGAACUUGCUAAGAAUGAAUAUUAUAGAAUCCUGGUCAUAGAGGAAGGUCUGGUUCCUGUCCCACUGAUUGGUGCUGCUGCUUAUAGGUCAUUUACUCCUGCAUUGCAUUCAUGGCCUAGUUUACCUGAUGGUACAAUGAUUGAACGUACCUCUAGGGGCCCUUCCAGGUUCGGUGCUUCUGAGUUACUUCUUGGAUUAAAUUUUGAUGGCAAGAAUGCAAAUAUGGAGCAAGCAAAGGUGAAAGCAAUAAUUGGACGGUCUAAGCAACAAUUUCUUGCACGUUCUGGGGCUAUAGAAGUGGAAGAUGCAAAAUCAUCUCAAAAUGAAAUAUCUACUAAUUGUCAAUUUACACUUUUGCCUUGGAUGGAUGGUGUGGCUAGAUUAGUUCUAAUACUUGAACUUGAAGAUGAGUUGGCCUUAUCCAGAGCUGCAAAUUCAAUUGCUGAUGCAUCUAUUAAUGAACAUAUGAGAAAUUCAUUCAAGGAAGCUGGAGCAAUCAAACAUUUAGUUCGGCUUUUAGAUCAUAAGAGUAAUGCUAUCAGACUUGCUGUUAUUGGCGCUUUGGAGAGAUUGUCUGCCAGCAAUGGUGUCUGCCAAACAAUUGAAGCUGAAGGUGUUAUGUCUUCAUUGAUUAACAUCUUAAAGAACUCAGAGACCUCUGAAAUUAUGAUGGAAAAGGCCUUGAAUUUACUAGAUCGAAUCUUAGACCCUAGCAAUGAAAUGAAAUCAAUGUUUUAUAAUGGACCAGUAAAUGGAUCUAAAAGGGAGUCAGAUUCAGCAAUAGACAAGGAUGCUUCCACUGGAUUAACUACAAAAAAUGAUGAAAUGCCAAUGUCUAUAAUAAAUACGAGACAAGAUGUGCUGGAUGCCUCCAUCAUAGUUCGCCUUGUUGAGAUGCUGAAGCACUCGUCCUCAAAUUUGAAAAGAAAAGCGGCUUCUAUCCUUGAGUUUUUGGCAAUUAUUGAUGGAAGCAUGGACAUGAUCAUCUCAGCAAAUAUUGAAUCUGGUCUGGAUGCUGUUUUCCAACAAAAAGUAUUGAGUGAAAUGGAUUUUGAUAUUGAAAAUCAGCAGCCAGAAGUAUAUGCCCUUCAAGUUGAAGAAGCCGGUCUUGCAGUAUCUGCAGCAUCUCGGUUACUUACAAAGCUUCUUGAUUCAGAUCAAUUUUGUUGCACCAUAAAUUCCACCCAUUUCACAAAAUUGCUGCGUAAAAUCCUGAAGUCAAACAUCCCUUUUCAUUACAAGGAUUGGGUUGCUGCUUGCCUAGUGAAACUCAGCUCUACUAAUGGUCCUAUCCUAGAAUUUGAUAACCCAAUCCACACGGAAGUGACUCUUUACGAGACCAUCCCAAGAUUAAUAGAGCAGAUUAAAUCCACUCUCUCUCCUGAAGUGCAGGAAGCUGCAGUAGUAGAACUCAACAGAAUAAUUUCAGAGGGGGUGGUAGAUGCUACUCGAGCCGUUUCUUCUGCCGGGGGAAUAUUUCCAUUGGUGGAGCUAAUAGAAGGAGGAAGUGAGAGGGCUGUUGAAGCGGCAAUAUCAGUCCUCUAUAAUCUGAGCAUGGACAGUGAAAAUCAUUCAGUAAUUAUAGCUGCUGGAGCAGUUUCAGCUCUGAGGAAGAUUAUUCUAUCCCAGAGGCCGCAAUGGAAGCGAGCGUUGCAUUUGCUGAGGGCUUUGCCUACAUGAUGAGAUGAUAUGCUGAUUGUGUAUGAUGCAUAUAACUCAUCAGUUUUGACUCCUUUUGUACAAUCACUUGAGUUCAUGCAUCCAUACAAGUUACAUUCGGGUGAUUAACACGUCAUAUUAUAAUUUUGUAUUUGUUAGGAUGCAAGACCUUUUACAACUUUUUUUUAUAUAUCUGAAAGAAAAUAUUAAAAUCUAAUUUUAAA
rnacentral:misc_RNA from 1 species